AUAGUAUUAUUGAAUGGCAUCAUUUAAUAAUUAAAGUCACAACGGUAAAAGAUGAGCAUGCGUCCCAUUAGCUAGUUGGUAAGGUAACGGCUUACCAAGGCAACGAUGGGUAGGGGUCCUGAGAGGGAGAUCCCCCACACUGGUACUGAGACACGGACCAGACUCCUACGGGAGGCAGCAGUGAGGAAUAUUGGUCAAUGGGCGCAAGCCUGAACCAGCCAUGCCGCGUGCAGGAUGACGGUCCUAUGGAUUGUAAACUGCUUUUGUACAGGAAGAAACAGUUCUACGUGUAGAACCUUGACGGUACUGUAAGAAUAAGGAUCGGCUAACUCCGUGCCAGCAGCCGCGGUAAUACGGAGGAUCCAAGCGUUAUCCGGAAUCAUUGGGUUUAAAGGGUCCGUAGGCGGUUUUGUAAGUCAGUGGUGAAAGCCCAUCGCUCAACGGUGGAACGGCCAUUGAUACUGCAAGACUUGAAUUAUUAGGAAAUAACUAGAAUAUGUAGUGUAGCGGUGAAAUGCUUAGAGAUUACAUG
rnacentral:rRNA from 1 species